rnacentral:rRNA from 1 species
GAUUUCUGGUUUAAUGUACCUGUCCCGCUGCGGUAACGCAUGUGAGUGACGGAGUAUGUUUGCCUUCCUUCUAGAGAACCCUAGCUAUCCUUCACUGGACCGGUUAGUGUCAUCUAGAUCUUUUACUUUGAAAAAAUUAGAGUGUUUCAAGCAGGCGUUUUGCUAUGAAUACAUUAGCAUGGAAUAAUGAGUUAGGACUUCGGUUCUAUUUUGUUGGUUUCUAGGACUGAAGUAAUGAUUGAUAGGGAUAGUUGGGGGUGCUAGUAUUCAGCGGCCAGAGGUGAAAUUCUUGGAUUCGCUGAAGACUAACUUAUGCGAAAGCAUU